CAGCAUCAUCAAAGCUUGCUUUGAUGGAUGGCGACCGGCGCACGGGUGAGUAACGCGUAUCCAACCUGCCUUACACUCUUGGACAGCCUUCUGAAAGGGAGAUUAAUACAAGAUGUUAUCAUGAGUAAGCAUUUUCGCAUGAUUAAAGGUUUACCGGUGUAAGAUGGGGAUGCGUUCCAUUAGAUAGUAGGCGGGGUAACGGCCCACCUAGUCUUCGAUGGAUAGGGGUUCUGAGAGGAAGGUCCCCCACAUUGGAACUGAGACACGGUCCAAACUCCUACGGGAGGCAGCAGUGAGGAAUAUUGGUCAAUGGACGAGAGUCUGAACCAGCCAAGUAGCGUGAAGGAUGAAGGUUCUAUGGAUUGUAAACUUCUUUUAUACGGGAAUAAACGGAUCCACGUGUGGAUUUUUGCAUGUACCGUAUGAAUAAGGAUCGGCUAACUCCGUGCCAGCAGCCGCGGUAAUACGGAGGAUCCGAGCGUUAUCCGGAUUUAUUGGGUUUAAAGGGAGCGUAGAUGGGUUGUUAAGUCAGUUGUGAAAGUUUGCGGCUCAACCGUAAAAUUGCAAUUGAUACUGGCAGUCUUGAGUACAGUUGAGGUAGGCGGAAUUCGUGGUGUAGCGGUGAAAUGCUUAGAUAUCACGAAGAACUCCGAUUGC
rnacentral:rRNA from 1 species